CUGCAGGUGACAUUUCUUGGCAAUAUCUUUUAUAUUUCUAACAUAGAAUAAACAAGAUAUGUUGAUAUUAUGAAGGGGAGAAAAUCAGACACUACCUCCUUUAAAAAAUGCCAUUUAGAAAGGGGGUCAGUCAUACUAAGGCAGAUAUUAUCUACCAAAACAUGAUGAAAUUGCCUCCAAAAUCAUUAGGUCAAGGAUUUCGGAAACAUAACUUUUGUUUUUACCUUUUUGGAAGGUGAGGACAUCUAUAGGUGCAUGCAGUCCAGCACUUCAUAUGGGUAUUAUAAGGUAAAGUUAAACACCGUUUGAAAAAUGCUAGUGAAAUAUGAUAUCAUGGUCAAUUGUUGGAAGAAAAAUGACAGUCAUACACAUGAGAAACAUCAACUUAAUGCGGUUUUAUGUAAUCUUCUUGAAAACGAGUUUAGGCAAUUCUUGUACAAGAUGACAGCAAUAGUUGUUUUUACUGAGUUAACUAACAUAACUUUUCUGUACAUUGAAGUUGUGAAAUACUUUGCUUACGUCUGAACUCUGUAGGUUUCAUCCUUCCUGAUGAGAUCUGCUGUUGUCGUUGGUCCUAGAAUCAAUGGAAGGCUAACAAUAUCAUCGUCGAUUUCCUGGAUGAUUGGUGUGGCCUGCAAUAUAUAUCCUGGUACCACCAGAGAAUCCGAGAUGCUAACGCCCCGCGCCAGGAAAGCAGCAGCCAGUUUGACCACGGGAUUGCCAGCAACGGUAAAAGAUUAACACCAGGCAUGAAAAGAUGUGAAAACAAAAAGGUAGAACAAGGAGUAUUUUCAUCUCGUACGCGUUGGUUGGCUGCAUUUAUCGGUAGGAACCCAUCAAACUCCAAACAAUAGAAGAAGAAGAAGAUGAUCGUGUGGUCUUCCAAAAAAUAGAAGAAGAAGAAUAUGAAGAAUUGAUCAUGUGGUCGAUUUAGGUUACAAUGGGAAUUUCGGCUUGAUGAACCUAUCGUUUGGGGUUUUUUCUCUCGAGUAAGUACCAGUCAGUGGUUGUCUACUAAACCAUGAAAUCU